GGGUAACUCUGUCGGUUGGUUGUCGUUUAUAACACACAUUGAUAGCCUUCUUUUUUCAAUUUCAAUACCCUCUGCUACGAUGAUGUUAAUGCUGUCCCUUAGCGCUUAAUAACUUUAGCCUGGCUCCAGUUUACCAUAACAUCUUGUUUGUAGCUUUUCAUAGCCAAGGCAGUGCUUGUUCUUCCCUUAGAAAUGUCCAGUUUAUGUUCUUCUAUUCUCUUUUUUAAGUUUCGUUUUGUGCUGCCGAUGUAUCACCGUGUGCGUUUUUCGUCGUUGUUAUAUAAGGGAAUGGCAUAUAUUCCGGCUUUUCUAUCACCCAGUAUACAGUCCUUGUCAUUUCUCAUCAGAUCAAAUACCGUGUGGCCUCUUUUUCUGACCACUACACACUGCUCG
rnacentral:lncRNA from 1 species